rnacentral:rRNA from 1 species
UACGUAGGUGGCUAGCGUUGUCCGGAUUUACUGGGCGUAAAGAGCGCGCAGGCGGUCGUUUCAAGUCGAGUGUGAAAGCCCCCCGGCUCAACUGGGGAGGGUCACUCGAUACUGAUCGACUCGAAGGCAGGAGAGGGAAGCGGAAUUCCCGGUGUAGUGGUGAAAUGCGCAGAUAUCAGGAGGAACACCGGUGGCGAAGGCGGGUCUCUGGGGCCGAUACUGACGCUGAGGAGCGAAAGCGUGGGGAGCAAACAGG